AAGAUUCACCAUUUAACUCAUUUCCAUAAAAUCACAAAAUCGGAUAAAAACUACUUUAGAUAAUUAAGAUGAUAGUAAGGUUACUCACUGUACUGGGAGUUUGAUAUAUUCCUAUUCCCGGUCUUCGGGCACAAUCUCUUUACCCUUGUUAAAGGGCUCCCCACCUAUACAUCAUACGUGACACGAAUUUCAAUAAAUUGUGUCAAUUUAUCAUAAACUAUUUUAGGCUCUAUAAAUCUAUAUGAAUGCAUGAAAUGUGAUGCAAAAUGUCUGAAUAGCCAUUUAAAUACAGUAUUCGACCUAAUUCGUACUAUUCUCGGUGUAAAUGGGCUAAAACCUCCAAUUUAACUCCAAAUCUAUUUCUUUCACUUUCUACACUCCAAUUAUACUUAAAAUACCUCAAUGACUGUGAAUAUGAUUCAAUUUAUCAGUUCGAACCAUAAAUCACACAUGUCUACACAUUAGGUAAAAUCCGAAUUUUGAUGCCAAAAUUUCCCAUUAAAUUUUGAGCCUCGCCAAUCAUUAAAUACCACCAAAAUAUCAUGAAAUAUCAUCAAUUUCAACCUCAAUAUCCUCCCUAGAAAAUUCGGCCUCUUGUAGGUUUAUGAAGAACAAAGUGAUUCCUUGCUAGAUUUUCAUACUUUCCAUUACCAAACAACCAAAAACACUUAAUUAGCUUGAAAUCUAGCAAAAUCAAUGCUCAAAACCUCUCCUCUCAAAUUUGGCCAGCAUGGGUUCAUCAUGCAAACUUGAGUUCUAAGCAUGGAAAAUGAAAAAGAAAGCAUGGGUAGUGUAAAUCACAAGAUAAAAUCACAAAAUUUUACCUUUAUUAGCUUAAUCCCUUGAAAUCCCACACUUUCUCUUCAAUUUUCUGACCUAGGGUUUGUGUUCUUUCCUUUCCUCUUCAC
rnacentral:lncRNA from 1 species